AGGACGAACGCUGGCGGCGUGCUUAACACAUGCAAGUCGAGCGGAAAGGCCCUUCGGGGUACUCGAGCGGCGAACGGGUGAGUAACACGUGAGUAAUCUGCCCCUAGCUCUGGGAUAGCUCCGGGAAACCGGGAUUAAUACCGGAUACGACCACCUUAGACAUCUUUUGUGGUGGAAAGAAUUUCGGCUAGGGAUGAGCUCGCGGCCUAUCAGCUUGUUGGUGGGGUAACGGCCUACCAAGGCGACGACGGGUAGCCGGCCUGAGAGGGCGACCGGCCACGACUGGGACUGAGACACGGCCCAGACUCCUACGGGAGGCAGCAGUGGGAAUAUUGCGCAAUGGGAGAAAGCCUGACGCAGCGACGCCGCGUGGGGAUGAAGGCCUUCGGGUUGUAAACCCCUUUCAGCAGGGACGAAGCGAAAGUGACGGUACCUGCAGAAGAAGCGCGGCUAACUACGUGCCAGCAGCCGC
rnacentral:rRNA from 1 species